CGUUUGAGCACAAAUUUGAUAUUCAUGUUCGGUUUUACUUAACGAGUCCAAAAAAAUUUUAAUAUUUCAGUUUCGACCCCGUUUGGUCACCGAAAACUAUACCGACCUGUAAUCUUUAUUAGAUAGUUGUCGGAUUUUAUUUUCCACCUUCCGAGUGUCAGAAUGACAUGAAACUUUAAAUCUAGCCUCAUAAAAAUGAUUCUGACUUAUCCUCCAGUUUUCAUAAUUUUCUGACACUGUGCAUUUUCUGCUAAUUUAUUUGUCCCGUUUUCAACAGAAAAUUCUGAAUCUUCUGUUUUCAUUCCGAUUUCAGCACAAGUCACUUCUGACUUAUAUUUUACUUCUCUAAAUCCAAUAAAAAUAGUUUCUCACACUAUUUUUAUUUAUUUUUAUUUUUAUACCAAAAUCUGGUAUGUUACAUUAUUAGGGCACCAAAAUUGGGGCUUUUGCCUUAGGUUGGUUUAAAGGCAAAUUGACCUUGUAGAAAUCAAAUUAGGCGUAUUUCUAACUCGUUUAUGAACUCGGUUCGGAGAUCUGACGAGUCUACGUGAAGUUAAAGAGAAAAAAGCCUAAUUUGGCUUCGUUUUGUCGCAGGC
rnacentral:lncRNA from 1 species